GCUUAACACAUGCAAGUCGAACGGAAAGGCCCUGCUUUUGUGGGGUGCUCGAGUGGCGAACGGGUGAGUAACACGUGAGUAACCUGCCCUUGACUUUGGGAUAACUUCAGGAAACUGGGGCUAAUACCGGAUAGGAGCUCCUGCUGCAUGGUGGGGGUUGGAAAGUUUCGGCGGUUGGGGAUGGACUCGCGGCUUAUCAGCUUGUUGGUGGGGUAGUGGCUUACCAAGGCUUUGACGGGUAGCCGGCCUGAGAGGGUGACCGGCCACAUUGGGACUGAGAUACGGCCCAGACUCCUACGGGAGGCAGCAGUGGGGAAUAUUGCACAAUGGGCGGAAGCCUGAUGCAGCAACGCCGCGUGCGGGAUGACGGCCUUCGGGUUGUAAACCGCUUUCGCCUGUGACGAAGCGUGAGUGACGGUAAUGGGUAAAGAAGCACCGGCUAACUACGUGCCAGCAGCCGCGGUGAUACGUAGGGUGCGAGCGUUGUCCGGAUUUAUUGGGCGUAAAGGGCUCGUAGGUGGUUGAUCGCGUCGGAAGUGUAAUCUUGGGGCUUAACCCUGAGCGUGCUUUCGAUACGGGUUGACUUGAGGAAGGUAGGGGAGAAUGGAAUUCCUGGUGGAGCGGUGGAAUGCGCAGAUAUCAGGAGGAACACCAGUGGCGAAGGCGGUUCUCUGGGCCUUUCCUGACGCUGAGGAGCGAAAGCGUGGGGAGCGAACAGGCUUAGAUACCCUGGUAGUCCACGCUGUAAACGGUGGGUACUAGGUGUGGGGUCCAUUCCACGGGUUCCGUGCCGUAGCUAACGCUUUAAGUACCCCGCCUGGGGAGUACGGCCGCAAGGCUAAAACUCAAAGGAAUUGACGGGGCCCCGCACAAGCGGCGGAGCAUGCGGAUUAAUUCGAUGCAACGCGUAGAACCUUACCUGGGUUUGACAUGGAUCGGGAGUGCUCAGAGAUGGGUGUGCCUCUUUUGGGGUCGGUUCACAGGUGGUGCAUGGCUGUCGUCAGCUCGUGUCGUGAGAUGUUGGGUUAAGUCCCGCAACGAGCGCAACCCUUGUUCACUGUUGCCAGCACGUUAUGGUGGGGACUCAGUGGAGACCGCCGGGGUCAACUCGGAGGAAGGUGGGGAUGACGUCAAGUCAUCAUGCCCCUUAUGUCCAGGGCUUCACGCAUGCUACAAUGGCUGGUACAGAGAGUGGCGAGCCUGUGAGGGUGAGCGAAUCUCGGAAAGCCGGUCUCAGUUCGGAUUGGGGUCUGCAACUCGACCUCAUGAAGUCGGAGUCGCUAGUAAUCGCAGAUCAGCAACGCUGCGGUGAAUACGUUCCCGGGGCUUGUACACACCGCCCGUCAAGUCAUGAAAGUUGGUAACACCCGAAGCCGGUGGCCUAACCGUUGUGGGGGAGCCGUCGAAGGUGGGACUGGUGAUUAGGACUAAA
rnacentral:rRNA from 1 species